GACGAGGGAUCCUAGCGUUGUUCGGAAUCAUUGGGCGUAAAGCGGGUGUAGGUGGCUUUGUAAGUCAGGUGUGAAAUCCCAGGGCUCAACCCUGGACGUGCACUUGAUACUGCGAAGCUUGAGUGUGGGAGAGGCUAGUAGAAUUCCAGGUGUAGUGGUGAAAUACGUAGAUAUCUGGAGGAAUACCGGUGGCGAAGGCGGCUAGCUGGCCCAACACUGACACUGAUGCCCGAAAGCGUGGGGAUCAAACAGG
rnacentral:rRNA from 1 species